rnacentral:rRNA from 1 species
CAUGGUUCAAUAGUGAAAGACGGUUUUGCUGUCACUUAUAGAUGGAUCCGCGCCGCAUUAGCUAGUUGGUAAGGUAACGGCUUACCAAGGCAACGAUGCGUAGCCGACCUGAGAGGGUGAUCGGCCACACUGGAACUGAGACACGGUCCAGACUCCUACGGGAGGCAGCAGUAGGGAAUCUUCCGCAAUGGGCGAAAGCCUGACGGAGCAACGCCGCGUGAGUGAUGAAGGUCUUCGGAUCGUAAAACUCUGUUAUUAGGGAAGAACAAAUGUGUAAGUAACUAUGCACGUCUUGACGGUACCUAAUCAGAAAGCCACGGCUAACUACGUGCCAGCAGCCGCGGUAAUACGUAGGUGGCAAGCGUUAUCCGGAAUUAUUGGGCGUAAAGCGCGCGUAGGCGGUUUUUUAAGUCUGAUGUGAAAGCCCACGGCUCAACCGUGGAGGGUCAUUGGAAACUGGAAAACUUGAGUGCAGAAGAGGAAAGUGGAAUUCCAUGUGUAGCGGUGAAAUGCGCAGAGAUAUGGAGGAACACCAGUGGCGAAGGCGACUUUCUGGUCUGUAACUGACGCUGAUGUGCGAAAGCGUGGGGAUCAAACAGGAUUAGAUACCCUGGUAGUCCACGCCGUGAACGAUGAGUGCUAAGUGUUAGGGGGUUUCCGCCCCUUAGUGCUGCAGCUA